CACGGAGGGGGCAAGCGUUGUCCGGAUUUAUUGGGCGUAAAGAGCUCGUAGGCGGCUCAGUAAGUCAGGUGUGAAACCUCCAGGCUCAACCUGGAGACGCCACCUGAUACUGCUGUGGCUAGAGUCCGGUAGGGGAGCGUGGAAUUCCUGGUGUAGCGGUGAAAUGCGCAGAUAUCAGGAGGAACACCAGCGGCGAAGGCGGCGCUCUGGGCCGGAACUGACGCUGAGGAGCGAAAGCGUGGGUAGCAAACAGG
rnacentral:rRNA from 1 species